CUGUGAGGAGCUACGGCUCCGUUCGCACCUCCUCCGCUAGUGCUGUGCCCCGAAAGAUCGGCAGCACACACUCACUUUGCUCCCCCACUCACACACUCACACACACACACGCUGUGCCUUGCUCACUCCUGCUUUCCGACUCGUUUGGUUGUGGGGAUUUAACAAAUGCCUGGCGCUGCAGGAGGAUGCCGGGGCUUCCUGUGAUGCUCCCGGAGAAAGCUUUGGACUGCCAAGGUCAACGAGGACGAACAAUCCCACUAGCGGCACUUGAGCAGUGGCAGAAGAACGCAAGCGGCUGGUGGGUGGGGGGAAGGAACCAUUGGCAUGUGUGGUGGUCACCGCUAUGCCGCUCAAGCUCUCAGCUCUCAACAUGCAAUGGCAUCAUUUCCAUAGCAACCGGCUCUAACGAUUCAUUUUCAAUUAGAACAGACACAAAACACACUGCCCUGAGCCAGUAGGCAGUGUCAAGAGCCCAUCUCCCUCUUCCUCGCCCCCACAUGGGGGGAGUGAUCCAGCCUCUUCAAGUCGAAGACACCAGGCUGUCUUACAGUAACGUUCACAAUCCACUCGUUUAAAUCAGACUCGUAUUAACAGCAGUGCAAAAAUCAAUGGGCUGUUAAUAAUUAGCAGAGAUUUACAGCUAUUGCAUUUAUUGUGAAAUGCAGAUGAAUGAACAUGUCUCGAGCAAGGCUGGGCUUGUGUGCAGUCACUAAGAAUGUAAUGUGUUUCAGGCCUGGCAGAAUUGCCACAAGCAGCAAAGCUGUUCUUUCUGGCUAGAGAGUUUUGCACUCGAGUUCAUAUCCACCUCCAGUCUCCCUCCCUGCUGUGCAGCUGAUGUCCGAUCCGACGCUAUGCAUGCUGCACUUCUAAACAUUGCCCAAAUAAACUCACCGGUGUGGUUCUAUAUGCC